AGAGUUUGAUCCUGGCUCAGAACGAACGCUGGCGGCGUGGAUAAGACAUGCAAGUCGAACGGAGUAUUACUUAUAGCAAUAUGAGUGAUGCUCAGUGGCGCAAGGGUGCGUAACACGUGAGUAAUCUACCGAAGAGUGAAGAAUAGCUCGCCGAAAGGCGAAUUAAUACUGCAUACGACCAAAGUGGGCAUCUACCCAAGGUCAAAGUCGGGGCAACCUGACGCUCUUUGAUGAACUCGCGGCCUAUCAGCUAGUUGGCGGGGUAAAAGCCCACCAAGGCUAUGACGGGUAGCUGGUCUGAGAGGGCGACCAGCCACACUGGAACUGAGGCACGGUCCAGACACCUACGGGUGGCAGCAGUCGAGAAUUUUUCUCAAUGGGGGAAACCCUGAAGGAGCGACGCCGCGUGGAGGAUGAAGGUCUUCGGAUUGUAAACUCCUGUCAUUGGUGAACAAAGCCUUCGGUUAACUGCCGACGGGUUUGCUAGUAGCCAAAGAGGAAGAGACGGCUAACUCUGUGCCAGCAGCCGCGGUAAUACAGAGGUCUCAAGCGUUGUUCGGAAUUAUUGGGCGUAAAGGGUGCGUA
rnacentral:rRNA from 1 species